rnacentral:rRNA from 1 species
CCUACGGGGGGCAGCAGUGGGGAAUAUUGGGCAAUGGGCGCAAGCCUGACCCAGCAACGCCGCGUGAAGGAAGAAGGCUUUCGGGUUGUAAACUUCUUUUCUGAGGGACGAACAAAGUGCCGGUCCCUCAGGAUUAAGCCACGGCUAACUACGUGCCAGCAGCCGCGGUAAUACGUAGGUGGCAAGCGUUAUCCGGAUUUAUUGGGUGUAAAGGGCGUGUAGGCGGGAAAGCAAGUCAGAUGUGAAACCUCAGGGCUCAACCCUGAGCCUGCAUGUGAAACUGUUUUUCUUGAGUACUGGAGAGGAAGGCGGAAUUCGGGGGGUAGCGGGGAAAGGCAUAGAUA